UACGUAGGGAGCAAGCGUUGUCCGGAAUCAUUGGGCGUAAAGCGCGCGUAGGUGGCUUCGUAAGUCCGUUGUGAAAGUCAAAGGCUCAACCUUUGAAAGCCGAUGGAUACUGUGAAGCUAGAGUACGGAAGAGGCGAGUGGAAUUCCUGGUGUAGCGGUGGAAUGCGCAGAUAUCAGGAGGAACACCAAUAGCGAAGGCAGCUCGCUGGGACGUUACUGACACUGAGGCGCGAAAGCGUGGGGAGCGAA
rnacentral:rRNA from 1 species